UAUACGGCGAGUGAAGAGGGAAGAGCCCAAGAUUGAAAGCUGGCGUCUUCGGCGUCCGCAUUGUAAUCUCAAGAAGUGUUUUCCGCUUCGGACCAAGCCUAAGUCCCCUGGAAAGGGGCAUCAUAGAGGGUGAUAAUCCCGUACAUGGCUUGGAGCGCCCGAGGCUUUGUGAUACGCUUUCUAAGAGUCGAGUUGUUUGGGAAUGCAGCUCAAAAUGGGUGGUAAAUGCCAUCUAAGGCUAAAUAUUGGGGAGAGACCGAUAGCGAACAAGUACAGUGAUGGAAAGAUGAAAAGAACUUUGAAAAGAGAGUUAAACAGUACGUGAAGUUGCCAAAAGGGAAGGGUAGGAGGUCAGAGAUGCGGCCUGGGAUUCAGCCUUGCUUUUGCUUGGUGUUUUUCCCAGAUUGCAGGCCAACGUCGGUUUUGGGCACUGGAGAAGGGUAGGAGGAACGUGGCACCCCUCGGGGUGUGUUAUAGCCUCCUACUGGAUACAGCGACCGAGACCGAGGACAGCAGCGUACUCGCAAGAGCGGGCCUUCGGGCACCUUUACGCUUAGGGCGUUGGCAUAAUGGCCCUCUACCACCCGUCUUGA
rnacentral:rRNA from 1 species